rnacentral:rRNA from 1 species
AUUGAACGCUGGCGGCAUGCCUUACACAUGCAAGUCGAACGGUAACAGGUCUUCGGAUGCUGACGAGUGGCGAACGGGUGAGUAAUACAUCGGAACGUGCCUAGUAGUGGGGGAUAACUACUCGAAAGAGUGGCUAAUACCGCAUGAGAUCUACGGAUGAAAGCAGGGGAUCGCAAGACCUUGUGCUACUAGAGCGGCCGAUGGCAGAUUAGGUAGUUGGUGGGAUAAAAGCUUACCAGGCCGACGAUCUGUAGCUGGUCUGAGAGGACGAUCAACCACAAUGGGACUGAGACACGGCCCAGACUCCUACGGGAGGCAGCAGUGGGGAAUUUUGGACAAUGGGCGCAAGCCUGAUCCAGCAAUGCCGCGUGCAGGAUGAAGGCCUUCGGGUUGUAAACUGCUUUUGUACGGAACGAAAAGCCCUGGGUUAAUACCCUGGGGUCAUGACGGUACCGUAAGAAUAAGCACCGACUAACUACGUGCCAGCAGCCGCAGUUAA